GAAUUUGUUAAAAAUUGUGCUCCAUUGGUCGUUUUUGUUUUUCUACCAACCUUUACUUCUGUGUUAGUGAUAUAGUGUGACGUCUUUACUGGGCUAGUGUAGCUCAUUCCUUACUUAACCAUUUCAGAUUAGGAGGACUUGGUUCCCGAGCCCAUUCCGCAGGAAGACGGCGAGUAGAUGCCUAAAUAUUUUAUAGUUUUCCUUAUAGUAUUUCAUUUCUAGUAUUUCCUUUAGUU
rnacentral:lncRNA from 1 species